rnacentral:tRNA from 1 species
GGGGAGGGGGGAAUUUAACCCCGUACAUAGAUUUACAGUCUACCGCCUUAAACUCGGCCACCUAACC